GUCAACAGAUGAUUAGUGCGAGCUUGUUCUACUGAAUGUUUCUUUAUUCUCAGUCUUGUUCGAAAGAAUAUUUGGUAAAGUUCGCAGCAGAAUAAAACGGGCUGGUGGUUUUUAUAAAGUGGAGAAUUGUUGUGAGAAGAUGUCACGAAUUUCGAAGCUCAGUAUUCGCGGGAUCCGCGGGUUUGGACCAGAGGAAUCCGAUACACAGCGGAUUACGUUUACUCCGCCUCUGACGCUUAUUCUUGGUCACAAUGGAGCAGGAAAGUCUACCAUAAUUGAGUGCCUUCGGAUGAUGACCACGAGCGAUAUGCCACCAGGUCAGGGGCAGUGCUUCAUUCAUGACCCCUCUCUAUCGGGCAAGGCGACCACUCACGCGAAAAUCGAGAUGAGACUGACAGACGCAAAGGAUCGGUCAUUCGACGUGUCCAAGAUUUUCGCGUUAACGCGAAAAGACAAAACGUUUAAAUUUAGCACAACGGACACGACGAUCAAUAACCUUGAAAACAAUCAGAGUAUGGGAUCGAAAUGUUGCGACGUAAACUCUUUCAUGUCUCAAUCUCUUGGUGUGCCGAAAGCUGUUUUGCAGAAUGUUAUUUUCUGUCAUCAUUCCGAAUCGGACUGGCCUCUAGGAGAAGGCAAGGCACUUAAGGAACGAUUUGACGCGAUAUUUUCAGCGACAAAAUACGUCGAAGUGCUAGAGGUAUUGAACAAAGAAAAGAAGGAAGUUAAAGCUAAAGUGAACGAACUCGAGGCUUUAAGGAGGCCUAUAACGGAGAAGUUAACAAACUACAAAAAUGAUCUUCAGGCCAUUACUUCGAAGAAAAGCAGACUGGAUCAACGGAAAGCUGAAUUGGACGCAACGCGACGACAAGAGCAAGAAGUCAGCAAGGAACGAGCUAAAAUUGAUCGGGAGUAUCAUGAGUUCGCAGCCCUUGAGCAGGAAUAUGUGCGACGAGUUGAAGAGUACAAGUCAUGCAAAAACAGACUGGAUGAGCUGCAGGAGGGCGUCCAAGAAGUGAUGGACUUGUCAAGAGAAGAGCUUGAGGAAGAGCUUAAAAACUUUGAUCAACGAAUGGCUGAUCGCAAACAACAAGUCGAGCAAAGUAAACUUGAACUUCGUAAAAUGAAGGAUGCCAACGAAAAAAAAUGGUCGGAACUUCGUGAAAAAGAGUCCUCACUCGUUCGUCUGGAAGGAGAAUACCGGCAGCAUGAGCAAGCGAUUCAAAAAAUGUUAGCAUCCCUACGGUCGCUCAACCGAGCGCUUGAUGCUAAGGUCGAUAUCAAAUCUGACGAUUACGCCGAACAUAGAAUUGACGGACAUGUCAACAGACUUGACGAAGUCAUCAAAACGGCGGAAGGCGAUUUGGCUGCAAAGAAGAAACACUUUUCUAAGGAAAUAGAAUCACUGCAGGCGAAAAUCCGGGAUGAAACUGAACAGAAAGCAUCCUAUAAGACCCGGCUAGAUUCCUUACGCAACAAACAAGAUGAGCUAAUGAUGGAAAUGGCUCUUAAGAAUCAGGAGUUAAAGGAGGUAGCCUCCAUUGGAGUUAAGAUGGACCAGUUUGAUGAAGACAUUAGGAACAUGAAAGAAUCCGUUGAAAAAUUGAAGAAAGUAACAAGUGAGUCUGCCCUUGAAAAACUGACUCAGGAAAUUGAAGAUAUUGCCUGCAAAGAGUCCCAGUUCAACGAAGAGCUCAACAGCGCAACGAAAAACAGCGCCGCACGAAACAAGAUCAAGACACUUGAAAAUCAAAUCAGCAAGAAAGCGAAAGCUAUCAACACCCUGAAGCUACGGAUGAUACGUGAAUUAAAAGAACCGUUUGCUGCAAUGGAGUUGCAAUUUCCCUCUAACGAAUGGGCUCGCGUAGUAAAGGGAGCUCGAUCAACUCUUGACGAUGAGGUUACUCAAUUACGAAAAACUCUGGAGGCAAAAACACGAGAAAUGACAAAGUGUCAAACCGAGCUUGACAUGGGCGAGAAGGAGUUGACUAAGUUGCAACAUCGACUAAAAGAACUGCGAGACAAAAUUGAUGAUGAAGUAGGCUUAGAGCGUACGCUCGAUGAAACCAUUAUCGAGACAGAAGAGCAACUUAACGAAAUGCGCAACCAGGAUAGCAUCUUUAUCGGAACACAGCACAUCUAUACACGGUAUAAGAAAAAAAUGGCAGAACAACGACGUACCCAUAGCGAGCAGUGCUGUCCCCUUUGUGAACGCUCGAUGGUGGACUCCGAAGUUAAGAAUCUUGACAGUAAGCUAGAAAGGUUGAUGAGUGAGUUACCAAAGCUUAGGGAAGGCUCAAAAAAGGAAGUGACCGACCUUAGCGAUAAGCUGGGAACACUCAAUCUGCUUAAGCGGGAUGAUCAAGAAAAAGUAAAACUAGAAGACGAUCAAAUUCCAGCUCUCGAAAAACAUGUCAGAAGCCUACGGGAUCAGUUACGAGAUCUCACGACACAGAUUGAAGAAUUGCAGAAGCAGCUAGAAAUGAAAAGCGAAAUGUCUGCAGCCCUCAACAGCCAAAUAGGGUCCUGUGACAUGUAUGACAGUGGUGUGCGAGAACUGGAUGGCUUACGGUCAGAACUCAAGAAGGAGCAGGUUGAGCUCGAAGAGGAUUGUCGUGAUGUGGACGAUGUUAUGGUUGACAUCAAUGAAGCAAAGGAGAAUAGGAAAAAGCUUGAAAAAGAAUGGAAAUCAAAACAGGAUCAGAUGCAAGAGCUGAAUAAUUUACAGGUGAAACUGAGUGAAACGAAAAAUUCACGGUUAAAGCUAAUUAAUAAAGCCGGACAAGAAACGCAGAUUAAGCAGGCACUGGAGAAGCUUGAAAAGGAAAAUGUCCAAUUGGAUAAGGAUUUGCCUGAAAUUGAAGCUAAGUUAAGCAAGGUGAUAAAGUCGCUGGACGAAUUGGAAUCUUCGUGUUCGAAGCUAUUGCGCCAACAAGAACGGCAGAUCGAAGAUCUGAGCUCAAAACUUCUGCGAGUGAAACAGGAGCGAGAAGAUCUGAGUAAAGCACUUAGGAGUCUCGAAGAGUACGAGCAAAGCGGUAAAAAGGAUAAAAUGAAUGCUGCUAAAGAAGAAGUUGUCAAACAAAAGUCAGUUGUAAAAGAAGCACGUAACGAGUAUGAAGAGAAAGAAGAGCUCACCAGACAACUGGAAGUUGAGGUUAGCAGGGAAAGUAGCCGGCGGCGAGAACUCAGCGAUAACAUUGCCGUAAUUGACAAGAAGGCUGAACUUCAAGUGCUUAAGAAGGAAGUCACUGAACAUAAACAGCUACUGGAAGAUCAUAACCUUGGCGAGGAAAGUAUAUUGAAGAAACUGGAGCGGAUCAAAGCUCAGCAUGAAGAACUCAAAGGCCAGGAACUAACGAAGGCCUCGGAUGUUCGCAAUCUAGAGCAGACUCUGGCUGAGGAAGAGGCGAGAGCGCAACGUAUUGGAGGAACCGCCGAGAAAGAAUUUAAAGAGUGGCUUGCUGAGAAUCUCGUCGAGAAGCAACUUUUGAGGGAUAUUGAUAUUGGAUAUGCCGCCCUCAACAAGGCUAUUCUCGCCUUUCACCAGGAAAAGAUGUCACUAAUAAAUAAAAUUAUUCAUGACCUUUGGAUCAAUGUCUAUAAAGGCAAUGACAUUGAAAACAUCGAAAUAAAGUUUAACGAAGACACUGGUAGUACGUCGAAAUCGACUACAAAGAGAAACUAUCAAUAUCGAGUCGUUAUGAAGCGUCAAGGUGGUAUUGAACAAGACAUGCGAUCAAGAUGUUCUGCUGGACAAAGGGUUCUAGCAAGUCUAAUAGUUCGACUGGCUCUGGCAGAGGCUUUUUGUGAUGGCUGUGCAAUGCUGGCGCUAGAUGAGCCUACAACAAAUCUAGACCAUGAAAAUAUGAUGAGUCUUGCGGAAACUCUGGCUGAGAUUGUUCGAAAACGGAAAACUGAAAAAAACUUCCAGAUGGUAGUUAUUACUCACGAUGAGUCGUUCGUUAUAGCACUAUCCAAGUGUCUACAUGAUAUUGGAGAAGUGAGACAUUAUUACAAGGUUGAAAAGAACGAGGAUAACCUGUCUGAAAUUCGUAAACGGAAUCUUGACUUUGAGGAAUAAUCAUUUAACAAGCAACAGACAGUUGAUCGGGAGGAAUAUAAACAUUCCGAACCAUUACAUAGGACCUUGAUAGACUCAACCAGGCUGGCAAACCAUAAUAAUCGAACAGCAUCUAUCACUCCUAUAUAUGCAGACAUAAUUAAUUAUAACUGGACAUGGUGAUUGAUUCUAAUGGCUUAGUAUAUGGCAUGUGUAACGUUGAUUAUCGCCUAUUGGCUAGGUCGAUCAAUUAUUUCUCAAAGGAUUAAUUCUAGGAAUAGUAGAAGCGUAAUUCCAUAAAAUUUCAAAUCACGGUUGGCCAAACUUUUUUGAUUGAUGCGUUGCUUUGAAGUGUUUUUAUCAUUAAAUAUGAAUGAGGUACGAUUUCUAUAAAUUGCGAACGCACAAACUAAUGUAACAUGAAGCUUAACUAAAAGCUAUCUUAGCACGGAUUAUUGCUUUAGAUACAAUGCACCGACAGCCAUCGUUCUUGUCGCACGAACUAUCGAUUUUUAAUUUUGGACGAUAAAGUAAUUUUUGUUUCAUACUUUGUUAAAUCAUUCAUUAAUUAUACGAAUUAAACAUUAAAUGCAAAUAAAUCUGUAUGUAUGCCACAAAUACACGAUUUUAUUUCGUCUAGUAAAUUUGUAGAUGCAGUUGAAACUCCUACCACUAGUUACUAACAGCUUGUACUUAUACCAGGUUAGAAAAUCUUUAAGCUAACCAAACCCCUCUUCCUAAUAAACGAUUAAGUAUAUAGGGUAUGGCACCUAAAUUAGGACAUAUGUUAGCGGGCUAUUUGACGGAACUGGCAUUUGUUCAUCCGUUACUUUUAACGCAAAACCAAAAAAUCAAUUCUUGCUACAGCUAAACAAUACACCAGCCAUGACGAGCAACAACUGGCUCAAAUAACAAUUGUUGGUAAACGAAAAAGUAUUUUGAAAAUGGCUAGUUAGUAGUUCAGGCCCAAAUUGAAGCUGGAAUCACUGUGAAUAAUAACUAGAAUAGUACUUUAAAGCGCUGUUUACUUCUAGUCAUCUCGGCUUUGCAAACAAGACGUUUCCGGGUGUUACGUGAGAUGAUUGAUAUCACGGUUUUCCGGAAUAAAGUAAUAGUACAUUUCAACGGGCUCAGUUUCUAUAUACGAUCAUUCCCCGAUUGUAUUUUUAAUAAGUCCCGUAAUUUACACCCCGAAUAUAGAUCUUGAAAAUUUUCAUUGCAGUAACGCUUAACGAUGGCGCAGAGAACUUCGUUUCUGGCUACCUAGAGCCAAAAAAUUAAGUAAUCACGGAGUUCGCAGUACAAAAUUUGUGCAAAAGACUAUUGAGGAGGCGCUUUUUUGGCUUGUUAUCUCCAUUCUGUGUUGUUACAGCGAUAAGGGUAAUUCCGAAUUCUCGUGUUUCAAGUCUUAUUUACUUCCUCGCAUCUUUGUUUACUUGGCCAUUGCUAUUGGUUGUGAUGUAUGAAUGACGUGAAAUGGGAAGAACGUAUGAAAGAAAGUAGGUUGGUAAUCUAUGCAGAUGCUGCUUAAAUUAUAGGCCUACUCUUUUCACAAUUGUAACAUUUGAAUUUUCCUCAUUGCAUAUUUGAGUGUUUACUUUUGUGCGCCUACUUUUGCUCCUUUUGCCGUGUAUAAUGUGGGUAGAUCGUAUCCACGGUAAUGAUUUCACUGUUAUUUGUUAACGGAUAUGUGCUUUUGUUAAUGCAAGGAUAAAGAAAUUAUCACUAUACAAAACGCUAGUUGUAAGGUUUUUUAACCCAAGUGAAUGAUGCGUUUGGUCCUCGAACUACUGAGAAGUUAAGAAAUGAGCUAAUAAUACUUUAGUGAAAUUGUAUAAUAUACCGCAAGACGUAUUGGAUUCAAGAAAGGGGAGCUUUUAUUCCGAUAAAGUUAUCGUGACCAGACGACGUGUCAAGCAUGAUGUGCGUAGGGUUGUUCUACUCGGGAUAAAAUAUAUUUGUAAUGACUGUACUAAUUUUUACAGCGAUUUAUCGUUGCUUUUUCAUCGAAUUAUAUAGGUUAUUCGUUGUUUGCAUUGUAGCAAAGAAGCUUUACAUUGAGGACUUAACAAAAUACGCUCUGCUUAAAUGAGCUAAUACUUUGACACUUCCGACAAAAUAUAUGGCAACCCUAUUGCAACUGAACUCGCUUUUUUUUAUACACAAUUAGUACACUUUGUGUUGACAAAAAGUGACGAUCGAGUUUCUUUUCGAAGUUUGAAAGUAUGAGUUUGAUUUUUAAAUACUUGUGCAUUAUAUUUGAGUCAAUGAAUCUCCAUGUUGCUCUCGUAUCGAAUUUGCAAGCGUAGAUUUUAUAGAAGGUUCCUUUGGUGUUUGUUGUCUCGUUUAGUUGUUUAACGUACCAUACAGAUCGUUCAAAAGACAGCAAGUACAUGCGGUCAAUAUACGAUAGCAGGAAGCGCUCCAGAGGACACACUACCCCUUGUCCUUCUAUGAAAUGUGAAAACAUGUUAAUUUUAAAAGCUGACUCUCCUGUAUGAAAAUCAUUUGCGAUAAAAACGCUUUUUGCAUGAACUCCUGUAAAAAAUGUUCAAUAAAAAUGCUAUUUACGUAAUUUUUUGAAUAUUGAGAAGCUAAUUUUAAUAAGAUAUUAUCGCAGUCAGUUCGAGUUUGUAGUUGCUUUGGGCAAAAAGUAAGCGGUUGCGUUUUUACAUUGCGUUGAACUGCUUUGU